GACGAACGCUGGCGGCGUGCUUAACACAUGCAAGUCGAACGGAAAGGCCCUGCUUUUGUGGGGUGCUCGAGUGGCGAACGGGUGAGUAACACGUGAGUAACCUGCCCUUGACUUUGGGAUAACUUAAGGAAACUGGGGCUAAUACCGGAUAGGAGCUCCUGCUGCAUGGUGGGGGGUGGAAAGUUUCGGCGGUUGGGGAUGGACUCGCGGCUUAUCAGCUUGUUGGUGGGGUAGUGGCUUACCAAGGCUUUGACUGGUAGCCGGCCUGAGAGGGUGACCGGCCACAUGGGGACUGAGAUACGGACCAGACUCCUACGGGAGGCAGCAGUGGGGAAUAUUGCACAAUGGGCGGAAGUCUGAUGCAGCAACGCCGCGUGCGGGAUGACGGCCUUCGGGUUGUAAACCGCUUUCGCCUGUGACGAAGCGUGAGUGACGGUAAUGGGUAAAGAAGCACCGGCUAACUACGUG
rnacentral:rRNA from 1 species